UACGGAGGGUGCAAGCGUUAUCCGGAUUUACUGGGUUUAAAGGGUGCGUAGGUGGGUUGGUAAGUCAGUGGUGAAAUACUUUCGCUUAACGAAGGAACUGCCAUUGAUACUACCAGUCUUGAAUACAGUGGAGGUAGGCGGAAUGCGUCAUGUAGCGGUGAAAUGCUUAGAUAUGACGCAGAACACCAAUUGCGGAGGCAGCUCACUACACAAUCAUUGACGCUGAGGCACGAAAGCGUGGGGAUCAAACAGG
rnacentral:rRNA from 1 species